rnacentral:misc_RNA from 1 species
AUAAAUUUAUUUAUUUAUUUAUUCAAUGAGCUUAAAUGGCUAUAGGGUUAUUUCUUAUAAGGAUUUAAUUGUCCUUUUGAUUAGUUUUUUUGACAGGAACUUUUUAAAGCUAUUUUUAACAAUUUAAGGGCCUAAAACUAUUUUAAAAAGUUUAAAUAAAGGACCCGCUUAAUUUUAUUAGGCCUUAAGUGACUAUAGCCUAUUUAUCAAGGGCUUAAAGCCAUUGGCCAUUGAAAAACUUAGAUUCUACUAAUUGCACAAUGAUAAUGUUCAGAGUAAGCCCUUCUGAAUAGAACAUACACUUUGAUUUCCCCUCGCAAAAUUUGGUUCUCGCUUCAAGUGUAUAAUUCCUGCUCGGUUUGAUGUUUGGCUUUGGUGCAUGGGACUUGUUUCUGGAAUCGUUGCUGGGCAGAAUUGAGAAAUUGUUGUAAGACAGAUCCCAGUUAUCAUCAACGAGAGGAGGGAUUGGUCCUUCAAGCAUAUUUCCGGUCAAAAGCACCGUUGUCACAUUCUCCAGAGCUCUUGGGAUCUCACCAGUUAAUUGAUUAAAGCUCAAAUCCCUGUAUAUGUGUGACAAAAAUCAAAGCAACAAUCAUCUUGAAUAAAAUAUUAAUGGAUGGAAAGUCCAAGCAUGCCCCUCAUUUUCACAUCCAAAUCCAAAUAAAUUCAAUUUCAUCUUUUUGUCAAACAACCUCUACACUUUACAUUUAAGUUCAAAUAAAUUUAUUUUUUUAAAAAUUUAAAAUAAUAAUACUUGAAAUUUUUUAUUAAUAAAAAUAUUAAUUUUCAUAUUUUUAAAUAUUGAAAUAUUUGUUAUUUUUAAUUAAAAUCAAUAAAAAAAAAUUAACUCAAAUUCUCAAAGUAGAUGAAUCAAAUCUUGAACCUCCCCCUCCUUCCUCUUCUUUCUGCUUCUUCAAAUAACCUGCAACCAAAUCUUGAACCUCUUCCUCCUUCAAAUAACCCAGCAACCCCACAAAUCCCUAAACACAGAUGGCUCCAGGUUUUCACCUCGCUUUCUCUGCUAGGAGACGAUACCAAAACGGCAGCCUAGUGGUGGCGAAGAAAUAUAGCAUUGCCUCCUACAGGGAUAUCAACGAGACAUCGAAUAUUUGGGUUUGCUAUUCUGGCUUUAAAUCAAGUUGGAUUUAAUUAUGAUGCAUUUGCAUCUCAAAAUGGGUUUAAAUCUGGGUUGAAUCUGUGUUGAUGUUUAUGGGUUGAAAUCUGAGUAGCUUUUAAUCAUCAUAUUAAUAAUUACUUUUUUAAAGAUUAAAAUUUAUUUUUAACUUUUUAUCAAACACAUCUAAGAGAUAAAAAUUGAAUUAUAAAAUUAUCAAUGGAAUGAGUCAACUUCAAUUAUAACUCUGCACUGGAGAUUAGCAAAUAUGAUCCAAUAGAUUUUCUGAUUAGAAAGAACUUACAGGUAAUAUAACUGUGGAAUAUUAUUAGGAAUAUAGCCUUUAAGGAAACAGUUCCUCAGUAUCAUUCGAUUUAUUGACGACAUAUUUAUAUUAUUUGGAAAAGAGAAACCAGCGCUGUUGUUUAGGUCACUAACCCACAAAUAUUGAAGAUUUUUCAUUCUAAAAAUUUCAUCAGGCAGGCCCCCUUCAAAAUCAUUUCCCAUGAGAUACAGAUCAGUGAGAUUGGUCCAUUUUGAAAUGAAAUUUGGUAUCUGACCGUUCAAUUUGUUCCCAGCUACUCCAAAAAGUUGUAGAGACUUAAGCUCGCUAUAACUUGGAGGCAAAAUUCCAUCCAAAUAGUUGGAACUCAAGUCAAGAUGUACAAGCUUCCUCAAGUUUCCAAGUUCCGAUGGAAGAUUACCAGUGAGCUGAUUCUCUUCUAAACACAUUCUAAUCAGACGAGAGAGGUUGCCCAAUUCUUUAGGAAUUCCACCUGAUAACCUAUUGUUGUUCAAAUUCAAAAUCUCGAGUGAUGACAAGUUCCCCAAUGACAAAGGUAUGGGGCCUUUGAGGAAGUUAUUUCUCAGAUUGAGAUAAACCAGAGCCUUCAGAUUCCCUAAGGAGUCAGGAAUAGCACAACGAAGAUGGUUGGAGGACAAAUCAAUUUUCUCCAAGAAAGUAAGGAUCGAUACAUCUUUAUCAAUUCUUCCAUCUUUCAAGUCCAAAAUGCCAGUAGAUAUGGAAGUGACAUGACAGACGGGGCUAUUAUUCUCGUCGGAGCAGGAGCAUCCAAUUCUAAUAUCAUCGAAGUCCAUCUUAUCGCAAUCCCCAGUAAUGAGCGUUGAUGAUGGUAAUUUCAACUCUUCUACGAAUUUAUCAAGAGCGUGUA